AGGAGUUCCAAAAGCGGUCCCCACAGAACCGGCCCCAUGAAGCUGGUUUAUGUCCUCAUCUUCGCUGUCUUCUUCCUGUCUCAGGUGACACCAGGCUGUGGGUACAGAGACAUGCACGGGUUCUGUGACUCCAUGAUAAGCGUGUGCCUGAGGAGGAAGAAAAAUUGCAUUUUCCGCAUGCCAGGGUUCUGCCCUGGGAGGAGUUUCUGCUGCAUCCGAGUGAAGUGAGCUGAAGGGUCUGCCUGUGAUGUGUGAGCCCUGCAUUAAAUAAAUGGAGACUUCACCGUAA